CAACUCUUAGCGGUGGAUCACUCGGCUCGUGCGUCGAUGAAGAACGCAGCAAAGACU
rnacentral:rRNA from 1 species